CUUCAAGAAGGUUUGGGUUGGACUGGGUUCUAGGAAUGGCCUGGGUUUUUUGGUUGCAGAAUUCUUUUUCCAGAGUGCAUUCUGAACUUCGUCAGAGAGCUGUUCAGGCCUCCCGGAGGCUGCGAGGUCCUUGGGGGCCUCACCCUGCCCCUCCUGGAGCCCCCAGCAGUGUCAGAGAUGACGGAAGGGUGAGGUCAGAAGCUGACAGGGUGUGACCCCGUGCACCAGGGAGGGCUUUGCAGCCAUCACUGCAGGGCCCCGUCACGAGGCCCUGGGGAGGGGACACUGUUGUGCGUUGUACCACAGGAAACUGCGCUGUGGUGCUCCCGACUCCCCUGACCUCAAUGUAGCAGCAGCGCGAGACUCCAGGGCACGUGGAGCCAGCUCCCUGCUGUCCCUCCUUUCUCCCCGUCCCCACUUCCCCCACCACUUUCUUUCUUUCCCUCCCCUCUCCUUUCUCCUCCUCUCUUCCCCCCUGCCUUCCCAUUCUCUCCUGUCCUCUCCUCCGCCUUUCCUUCUUCUCUCCCCCUCCAGCCUCUGCCCAGGCUCUCGCUGCCCCAUUCCGCUUUUCUCCUCUUCCUCCUUUCUGUCCUGCGUUGUUUACCGAGGCAGUGCCAGUUUCUCUGGUGGAGACAAAGUGCUAUGCCGAGCUCUGUAGGAGACGCAAAGGUGCAGAAGACACGUGAUUGUCAAAAGCGACCCCGAAGACACCGCCAAGGGGUGAGUCUGGAGAGAGAACUGGAGCAUAAUGGCAGGUGUCACUCCUAUUUCUCUGUUUUGCUGUUGGCUACUGUGACCUGAGGUUCACCACAGAGACUGAAAAAUAGACUUACGGGAUGGCCAGGAAGAAAAACCUGGUUUUCCGAAGGACUGAGCAGAAGAGAAGCACCCAGCAGCCCUGGCCCUCGUGUCCAGUUAUUACCCGAGGAUGAGGUGCAGUUGAGUCGACCUUUGUUACAGCAGCGUAAACUCCGCCAGGCCCUUCUGGAACCCAAGUGGCAGGUUCAGACCAGGAGCUCAUGCUUGUCAAGCCGUCAACUGAGAAGCUACAUAAAUGAUUAUCUCUCCUGCUGAAACUUUUCACAGAACUACCUGCAAGGUGGGACUAAAGCUUCUACUUGUUUUCUUCUACAUCUAGAGUGGCGUUGCACAAGAGGGAGGGGCCCAGGGCUGAAGAAGAAGCAAUGGAAAAGAAGUAUCGGGCAUGACUGUGUUAGCAUUCUGUAAAGAGUUAUAAAAUUUGAUCCUAUGUAAAAAAGCCAUUCAAUCUGAAAUUCACGUGUGAGGUACGUUCAGUCAGUUACUGAUCAAAUCAAAACAAUCAAGGUGUCUGUAUUUUCACUUGCUAGGGACCCGAUCCAUUUCAAAUCCUACUAGGUGGCUUAUUUUCAUUUUUAAUUUUGUAAUGCACCUCACUGUGGGCCAGGCACUGGGACGAGGGUGUGAAGUGCCCCUAAAAUGCACCACAACCCUUCAAGGAAACACUACUGCCCCAUUGACAGCGGGCAAGUUUUUCCUGAUGUUCCCUGACUAGCAGGUGCACCCGCUGUGAGUCCAGCUGUUUACGCUCUGAUUCACUCACCCUUGGCUCAGCGUUGUGUCUCAGGCAGCCACCCCGUGGGCACAGGUCACCUUCAGAGGCAUGGACAAGAUGAACCAGGCCCUGCCCUUUGUGAGCUUAAAUCCUCUCUGGGAGUGGGCAGACAACAAACAGCUAAACACAGGCACCAGCAGGGCUGAGUUAGGCAGUGACAGAUAUACAAAGAAAGGAAAUAACUCAGUCUGCUAGGGAUAAGAGAAGACCAGAGCAGAGAUUAGUUUUUGAGAGAAUGCAGAGUCCGAUUUUAGGGCCCAGGAGAUGCUCCUUUGGCAUCUAAAGGAAGAGGCCCUUCUGGCAACUGGUGGUAAUACCAACACUCGUCAUGGGUGAGGGUGAUCAGAAAGUACAGUGAAGGUUUACGUUCUAAAAACGUGUCACAGGAAAAGGUACAUUGCCAUUAAUCCUCAUCAGAAAUACUCCUUGCUUCAAACACACUUAACCUGUUUGUCUUGCCCUUUUCUGGAGCAGUUGAUGGUUUGUACUGACAGAAGUCUCUGUCAGAUAGAGAUAUGACGGCGUGUCCUCAUCCCCGGAUCUGGCACUGUGACUUUUGUGGCCCCUCCCCGAAGUCAGAAGGACCACGAGGCAGAAAUGCUUUGCAUCAGUUCAGGACAUCAAGGCAGCCUCAGCAAGGCAACUAAAGGCACUCCCAAAAGAAGACUUUCAGAGCUGCUUCAAAAGUCGGCAAGAACAAGGACAUAAAUGUGCUUGAAGCCAGAGGGAGGAUUUUAAGGGAGACUCAUCUUGCAUUGCAAUUUUUUAAAAAAAUGUAAACAUUCACUGUAGGUUCUGAUCACACCUUGUAUUGAGUGCUGGUGUGUUCUUGUCACUAACACUUAUCCUUUAAAAUACAUCAGCUUACUCAUUCUCCCAAGAAUCCUGUAGGGCAUUGUUCCCGUUUCUCAGACAAGGAUACAGGUUCCAUAACCUUCCCAGAGUCCUGGGGCAACGAGGUGCAGAGUCAGGCCUCAGACGCAGACCCUGGCUCUCGGGUCUCCCCUCCUCUCCCCUCUGUCCCGCUUCUCUCUGGCGUAGACCAGGUGGGUCCGGCAGUGGGGAGUCCGGGGACAGGGUGUGGCAGGAGGGGUCCUUACCACACAUUCUGCGGUACAGUCAUUGGACUUGACUGAACACCAAUUGUUAGAAAGGACAGCAAGCCGGGCCCGAAUCCUGGGUGUGCCAGGGUUUGAGGUCAGGACGGAAGAGGAAUCCUCAGAGGAUGAGAACCACCUGUAGGCACCUUUGUCCUACCUACCUGCCAAAGACCAGAGACAGGAGAGCAGCUCUGGUUUCUUUGCUUCAGAAACUCAUGCACUUAACCUCUGUGCCAUCCUGUCUCCCCUAAUUACAUUAAAUAAGCAAGUAAAUAGGCUCAUUAAUUUUGAAAUGGACUCCAGAUGUGACGAUCCUGAAGCUGCAAGGCUGUGUCAGUUAUGUAAAAGCGGCUUUGAGGCUGGGGUCAUGCUGUCAGCUCCUCCAUCGGCCACCUCGCCUACCUGUCACACACAAAUAGGAAUUCAGGGAGUGAUAGGAGCCUCCGUUGCAUUUUAAUACUUUUGCUCCUAGGAUGUCUGUUUUUGGGCUAAGACUUGGGCUUCAGCCUCCUCUGAGUCGUGUGACAUCUGUGCUGGGGUUGUUUCAAAAGCCAAGAAGUUGCCUCAUCAGCUGAGAAUUGAAUUCUGUAUACGCACAGGGGAGCCUUAGUCAAAAUAGAAAUAAAAGUCGUGUUUACGUACACGCUGACAUGAGACCCUUCAUUGAGUUACUGAGCCUGCCAGCGUUUAUCCCCCGUUCACACUCCAGUAUGCACUGUGCUAGAAGCUGGCAAUAAAAAUAAGACACAGCCCCUGGUUAGGAGGACCUUUCAAGAGUUGGGUCAGAAAGCAAGAUGCCGCAGAGUAAAUAAAGCGGUGGUGGUGACAUCACAAAGCUCUGUGUCCCCCCGGUGAGUGGAAGCCACCUGUGCCAGUGUUUGUGUGUGUGCGUGAAUCCGCUUUCUGUUUCUAAAACAAAAUACCUAUGACUGGGAACUGUAUAAACACACAGGGUUUAGUUAGCUCAUAGUUUGAAAGGCUGAAGGCCCAAGACCAGGUGGUCUCAUGUACUCAACCACUGAGGUAGGCAGGGAAGUGAGCGGGGAAAUGGUCACAGGCAGAACCGUCCAAGUGUGUGGGUUGGUCUCAGGCUGCAGCAACUCACUCGUAGGAAAAAGUAUCAGUCCUUCCCAAGAGCAGCGCCCUGAAUGAUCUGAUUCUUUUUUUUUUUUUUGGUACCGGGAAUUGAACUCAGGGACCCAUGUUUGCCAGGCAGUUGCCACAUCACUGAGCUGCAUUCUCGGCCCUUGAAUGGUCUGAUUCUUAAAAGUUCUACCACAUCAACACUACCACACCAAGGACCGAGCCUUCCACACAAAGACCUUUCGGGAACAAACCGUAUUCCAACCAUGGCAGCGUGUGGUACCUAAGUGGGUGGGAGACAGGAAGAGCCGUAGCAGACAAAGCAGACACGGAGCCUGGAAAGGUAAGUUGAGCACGACCAGCCUUCCACCACCGACUCUCCUUCCUUCCACCCACCCACCCAUCAUCCACCCGCCGUCCAUCCAUUCCUUUGUUAAUGCUCCCAUUCACUUACCA
ensembl:lincRNA